AACGAGGCCGACCUGCGGCUGAGUUACCUGCGGAGGGAUCAUUACAGAGUUCAUGCCCUCACGGGUAGAUCUCCCACCCUUGUGUAUUUAUACCUUUGUUGCUUUGGCAGGCCGCCUGGGUUCGCGCCUGGCCACCGGCUCUCGGGCUGGUGCGUGCCUGCCAGAGGAUCUCCCAACUCUAGUUAUCAGUGUUGUCUGAGUACGAUACAAUCGUUAAAACUUUUAACAACGGAUCUCAGA
rnacentral:misc_RNA from 1 species